rnacentral:rRNA from 1 species
UAUCUCUGUAGAGUCUGCAUAUCAAUAAGCGGAGGAAAAGAAGCUAACUAGGAUUCCCUCAGUAACGGCGAGUGAAGCGGGAAGAGCUCAAAUUUGAAAUCUUCAAGGUUCUACCUUGACGAAUUGUAGUUUAAAGAAGUGUUUUCUGUUGGAGUUUUGGUAAAAGUUCUUUGGAAUAGGACAUCAUAGAGGGUGAGAAUCCCGUAUUUGACCAUUAUUUCCAGCUUUGUGAUACACUUUCAAAGAGUCGGAUUGUUUGGGAAUGCAGUCCAAAAUGGGUGGUAAAUUUCAUCUAAAGCUAAAUAUUGGCGAGAGACCGAUAGCGAACAAGUACCGUGAGGGAAAGAUGAAAAGAACUUUGAAAAGAGGAGUUAAACAGUACGUGAAAUUGUCAAAAGGGAAGCGUUUGACACCAGUGUUGUUUUCUCGAAAAUCAAUUAAAAAAAGUUGGAUUUUGUAUUGUUAAGACCUUAUCAGCUUACUGUACUCUUUUCUUGCUUUUUUUAAUGCACUUUUCGUUUAACAAGUCAACAUCAAUUUCUUUUGUUGUAAAAGAGUCAUUGGAAGGUGGCUUUCACUUCGGUGAAAGUGUUUAUAGCCUUUGGCUUCCGUAAUCGGAGAGAUUGAGGUCUGCAGCGUAGAUCCUUCGGGGCUAGAUACGUAGAUGCUAAGUUAUAGUUUUUUAUAGACAACUUGUUGACUAUAAUUAAUCAUGUAGCUUACUCGUUUGCGCUAUUUUACCUACGCUUAGGAUGUUGAAGUCAUCGUAUCGCGC